rnacentral:rRNA from 1 species
AAUACGGAGGAUGCGAGCGUUAUCCGGAUUUAUUGGGUUUAAAGGGUGCGUAGGUGGUGAUUUAAGUCAGCGGUGAAAGUUUGUGGCUCAACCAUAAAAUUGCCGUUGAAACUGGGUUACUUGAGUGUGUUUGAGGUAGGCGGAAUGCGUGGUGUAGCGGUGAAAUGCAUAGAUAUCACGCAGAACUCCGAUUGCGAAGGCAGCUUACUAAACCAUAACUGACACUGAAGCACGAAAGCGUGGGGAUCAAACAGGAUUAGAUACCCUGGUAGUCCACGCAGUAAACGAUGAUCACUAGCUGUUUGCGAUACACUGUAAGCGGCACAGCGAAAGCGUUAAGUGAUCCACCUGGGGAGUACGCCGGCAACGGUGAAACUCAAAGGAAUUGACGGGGGCCCGCACAAGCGGAGGAACAUGUGGUUUAAUUCGAUGAUACGCGAGGAACCUUACCCGGGUUUGAACGCAUUCGGACCGAGGUGGAAACACCUUUUCUAGCAAUAGCCGUUUGCGAGGUGCUGCAUGGUUGUCGUCAGCUCGUGCCGUGAGGUGUCGGCUUAAGUGCCAUAACGAGCGCAACCCUUGCCACUAGUUACUAACAGGUAAAGCUGAGGACUCUGGUGGGACUGCCAGCGUAAGCUGCGAGGAAGGCGGGGAUGACGUCAAAUCAGCACGGCCCUUACAUCCGGGGCGACACACGUGUUACAAUGGCGUGGACAAAGGGAGGCCACCUGGCGACAGGGAGCGAAUCCCCAAACCACGUCUCAGUUCGGAUCGGAGUCUGCAACCCGACUCCGUGAAGCUGGAUUCGCUAGUAAUCGCGCAUCAGCCAUGGCGCGGUGAAUACGUUCC